GUCCUCCAGAGUCUUGCAACUGUACGUAAAUGUUCUAUUCGGCCACCACUAACCAAUGCUCACAAGCAGAAAUGGCUGCAUUGGACAGAAAAAUACAUGAAGAAAAAAAAUGAAAAAAUUGCACUUUUUUUUUUGUAUGUGACAGUGUGUGUCAAGGUUUGUAUAUCUGUGCUUGUAGGUGUCAGUGUGUAUAUCUGACACACAGAUACACACACCUUGACACACUGUGUGUGUAUGUAUGUAUCUGUGUUCCAAGGUGUGUAUCUGUGUUUUGUAUGUGUCAGUGUCUAUGAAUC